rnacentral:tRNA from 1 species
GGAGAUAUAGCUUAGUAGGUAUAGUGCUUGCCUUGCAUGUACAAGGCCCUGGGUUCAAUCCCUAGUAUCCCCC